AGAGAUUUAGGAUAAAUAAGACCAAAAGCCUUCAAAGCUUUAAGUAGGGGUUAAAAUCCCCUAAUCUCUA
rnacentral:tRNA from 1 species